UAUUAAUCCUAAUCUAAACUGUAUACCUUAAUUGCAUUGAACUGCUCAAAGAGAGGACAGAUACAUGCUGAUUGGUGCCUGUGAAGUUACUAUCUGAUUUCAAGGCUUCUCCUGGAGACAGGGGUCUUUCUGUGUGCAGCAGAACGGUGUGAGGUUAUAGUGGAGCAUGAGCAAAAUCUCAUUAGCUUCACUUGCGGAGAGGGGAGGAAGAGUAAAUAUUAUUAGAUUAAUCUAAUGACUAACAGCAGCAUUUUCAUUUGUGGUAUAAACAGAAUUCAAUAAGAAACACAAUAGAAACAAAACCAUAAAACCUUCAGUCAUGAAUGCGCUGCUUCUUUUCAAAAUAACACAACUACACAAAAUUACUUCCAAAUAGAAUUUGUUUUGAUUUGUAUAGUACUGGCAAUAAAAUACACUAUGUAUUCACUUAAAAAAAUGAGAAGAAGCUUUAAAACAAUUAAACAGGUGAAUGCAUAGAAAGAGAGAUUUCACAGAACAGCUCCACUUCUUGUCGCCUGGAGUGUUGGUGAGCCCCUGCUCUGCUCGGAGGGCCCCUGAUGGAGGAGUGACUGCGUGAGUCUACUGGAUGCCAGAGCACUCUUCUGCAGCUCUGCCAAGCAGCAGAUGAAUGUGGCUGUUAAGCCAGGGAGAUGUCACCUUUCAGCAGGAAGCCCAGGAUGAGACGCUGAGCGAGGAUUUUGUUCCACCUGGAUGCGUGGCAGAGUGCUGAGUGCAGAGCUGCUGACCCAGGCACCGCUUCAUUUCAACCUCAGCAGCAGCACUGAGACUUGGUCCUUGCCCCAGCCACAGAAACAGUACCUCUAAACCUAGCUGCUUCUCACACUGCCAU